GCACGGGUGAGUAACACGUAGCUAAUCUGCCCUAUGCUAAGGGACAACAGUUGGAAACGACUGCUAAUACCUUAUACUCCGCUACUACAUAAGUAGUAUCGGGAAAGUUUUUCGGCAUAGGAUGAGGCUGCGGUCUAUCAGCUAGUUGGUGGGGUAACGGCCUACCAAGGCUAUGACGGAUAGCUGGUCUGAGAGGAUGAUCAGCCACACUGGAACUGAGACACGGUCCAGACUCCUACGGGAGGCAGCAGUGGGGAAUUUUGCUCAAUGGGCGAAAGCCUGAAGCAGCAACGCCGCGUGGAGGAUGACGGAUCUAGGUCGUGUAAACUCUCUUUUAAUAAGGGGAAAGAAAUUUGACGGUACCUUAUGAAAUAAGCACCGGCUAACUCCGUGCCAGCAGCCGCGGUAAUACGGGGGGUGCAAGCGUUACUCGGAAUCACUGGGCGUAAAGGGAGCGUAGGCGUUCUAUUAAGUCUUGAGUGAAAGCCCGCAGCCCAACUGCGGAACUGCUCAGGAAACUGAUAGAAUAGAGUAUGGAAGAGGUAGGUGGAAUUUCCAGUGUAGGGGUAAAAUCCGUAGAUAUUGGAAGGAAUACCAGAAGCGAAGGCGACCUACUGGGACAUUACUGACGCUGAGGCUCGAAAGCGUGGGGAGCAAACAGGAUUAGAUACCCUGGUAGUCCACGCCCUAAACGAUGAACACUAGUCGUUACGGAGCUAGUCUCUGUAGUGACGCAGCUAACGCAUUAAGUGUUCCGCCUGGGGAGUACGGUCGCAAGAUUAAAACUCAAAGGAAUAGACGGGGACCCGCACAAGCGGUGGAGCAUGUGGUUUAAUUCGAAGAUACGCGAAGAACCUUACCAAGGCUUGACAU
rnacentral:rRNA from 1 species